UCCGUAGGUGAAACCUGCGAAGGAUCAUAG
rnacentral:rRNA from 1 species